rnacentral:piRNA from 1 species
UAUGUUUAAUUUCAGAGUAAUGUGUCUAUA